rnacentral:lncRNA from 1 species
AAAGAGACUGUCAUUUCUCCACUGUAUAUUCUUGCCUCCCUUGUCAUAGAUUAAUUGACCAUAGGUGCGUGUGUUUACUUCUGGGCUUUCUAUACUGCUCUAUUGAUCUAUAGGUCUGUUGUAGUGCCAGUAACAUACUGUAUUCAUUACUGUAUGUUUGUAAUAUAGUCUGAAUUCAGGGAAUGUGAUUAUAAUUUUUGGAUUUGGACUUAUUUUCAAAGUCUGUCUCCAUGUAGAGAAUUGAGAGGUAAACUGACAGAUUUUUCUUCUACUUUUUAUUUUAUCAUCUAACACCUUAAUCCUUAUAGAAUAAUUUUGGAUUGUGAUAUGAAGCAUGAGUACUGACUAAUACAUAUGCCCUUACUAGUGACUUCUGCAGGUAAUCCUCAGGAUCAUUUUGACUUCAAAAGUAGGCAAAUCAACCUAUUAAAAUAAAUAGGAUGUCAAGUUCAGGAAAUAUCUCUUUCAGAUUUUGAUUAGAAUUGCAUUGACUAUCUAAAUUAACUUUAAGAAAAAAUUGAUAGCUUUUAAAAUUUUACUAAUACAUCUAAGAACAAUUUAUGUCUCUAUUCAAAUAAUAAUGUUAAGAUUAUGGUGAUUUACAAUUUUAAACAAUUUUAAGCAAUUUUACAAAAUUUAUAUUUUUAUGUGAUAUAUUUACUAUAUAUACUAUACUAUAAUAUAAAUACUAUAGUAUAAAGUAUACUUUAUUGAAGUUCCCAUCAUGGCGUAGUGGAAACAAAUCCAACUAGGAACCAUGAGAUUGCGGGUUCUAUCCCUGGCCUCAGUCAGUGGGUUAAGGAUCUGGUGUUGCUGUGAGCUAAGGCAUAGGUCACAGAUGUGGCUCAGAUCUGGCUUUGCUCUGGCUGUAGCAUAGGGUGGCAGCUGCAGCUCUGAUUAGACCCCUAGCCUGAGAACUUCUAUAAGCCUUGGUUGCAUCCCUAAAAAGCAAAAAACAAAUAAAUAAAUGAAGUGUACUUUAUCAUAUAUUACAUAUUAAUGUAAAAUUUAAUAGUAAAACUUUAUAGUUAAUAACACUAAAUUAUUAGAUAACCUCAUAUUUUCUUUAAAAUAUUUUAGUGUUUUCUUUUUUUUUGCCAUUUCAUAUUAACUUUAUUUUUUUGUGAGCUUAGAGAUUUAUUUCUGCUCAUUGAGAUCUUUUAUUUUUUCUAUUUUUUUAUUUUAUUAUUAUUAUUUUUAAUAGUUAUUUCCCCAAUACAAUUUUUUUUUAUACCGUACGGCAUGGUGAUCCAGUUACACAUAAUGUACACAUUCUAUUUUCACACAUUAUAAUGCUCCAUCAUAAGUGUCUAGACAUAGUUCCCAGUGCUACACAGUGGUGUUUUAUUUUCUUGAUAUUGAAAUUCAUUUUACAUAAAUUUUAUAACUGAUUAUUAAACAUAUUAGGAGAGAGAUUAAAAGGGGAAAAUAGCACCACAUUUAAAACUUAGACUUUUUUUAAAACUACUUAAUGAAUUUUAUUACAUUUAGAGGUGUACAACAAUCAUCACAACCAAAUUUUAUGGCAUUUCCAUCCCAAACCCUCUGUGUAUCCGCCUACCCCACAAUCUGUCUCAACUGGAAACCAUAAGGUUUUCAGUCUGUGAGGCAGUAUCUGUUCUGCAAAGAAGUUCAGUCUGUCCUUUUUUCAGAUUCCACAUGUCAGUGAAAGCAUUUGAUGUUGGUGUCUCAUUGUCUGAUUGACUUCACUUAGCAUGAAAAUUUCUAGGUCCAUCCAUGUUGCUAAAAAUGCUGGUAUUUUGUUCCUUUUAAUGGCUGAGUAAUAUUCCACUGUGUAUAUGUACCACUUCUCUUGUAUCCACUCCUCUGUCAAUGGACAUUUAGGUUGUUUCCAUGUCUUGGCUAUUGCAAAUAGUGCUGAAAAUGAACUGUAGGUACAUGUGUCUUUGCANUUUAGUUUUCUAGGAAUCUCCAUAUUGUUUUCCACAGUGGUUGCACCAAUUUACAAUCCCACCAACAGUGUAAUAGGAUUCUUUUUUCUACACACCCUCUCCAGCACUUAUUGUUUGUAGACUUUUUGAUGAUGGCCAUUCUGGCCAAUGUGAGGUGGUAUCUCAUAGUGGUUUUGAUUUGCAUUUCUCUAAUAAUGAGUGAUGUUGACUAUCUCCUCAUGUGUUUUUGGGCCAUCCGUUAUGUCUUUUUUGGAGAAUUGUCUAUUUGGAUCGUCUGCCCAUUUUUUGAUGGGGUUUGUUUUUUUGGUAUUGAGUGGUAGGAGGCGUUUAUAAAUUUUGGAGAUUAGUCCCUUGUCAGUCGAUUCAUUUGCGAAGAUUUUCUGCCGUUCUGUGGGCUGUCUUUUCAAUUUGUUUAGGGUUUCCUUUGCUGUGCAGAAACAUUUAAGUUUGAUUAGGUCCCAUUUGUUUAUUUUUGUUUUUACUGUCAUUACUCUCAGAGGUGGAUCUGAGAAGAUGUUGCUGUGGUUUAUGUUGGAGAACAUUUGGCCUAUGUUUUCCUUUAAGAGUUUUGUAAUAUCUGGUCUUAUAUCUAGGUCUUUAAUCCAUGUUGAGUUUAUGUAUGUGUAUGGUGUUAGGAAGUUUUCUAGUUUCAUUCUUUUACAUGUGGCUGUCCAGUUUUCCCAGCACCACUUAUUGAAGGGGCUAUCAUUUCUCCAUUGUGUAUUCUUGCCUCCUUUGUCAUAGAUUAGUUGGCUGUAGGUGCAUGGGUUUAAUUCUGGGCUUUCUAUCCUAUUCCACUAAUCUAUAUUUCUUUGUGCCAGUACCAUACAGUUUUGAUGACUGUUGCUUUGUAGUGUAGUCUGAAGACAGGGAGCCUGAUUCCUCCAGCUCCAUUUUUCUUUCUCAAGAUGGCUUUGGUUAUCCUGGGUCUUUUGUGCUUCCAAACAAACUUUAAAAUAUUUUGUUUGAGUUCUGUGAAAAAUGUCCUGGGUAAUUUGAUAGGGAUUGCAUAGAUUGCCUUGGGUAGUAUAGUCAUUUUCAUAAUAUUGACUCUUCCAAUCCAAGAGCAUGGAAUGUCUUUCCAUCUAUUUGUGUCAUUUUUGAUUUCUUUCAUCAGUAUCUUGUAGUUUUCAGAAUACAGGUCUUUUGUCUCUUUAGGUAGAUUUAUUCCUACGUAUUUUAUUCUUUUUGAUGUGAUGGUAAAUGGGAUCAUUCUCCUAAUUUCUCUUUCUGAUCUUUCAUUGUUAGUGCAUAGAAAUGCCAUCAAUUUCUGUGUAUUAAUUUUGUAUCCUGCAACUUUGCCAAAUUCAUGGAUGAGCUCUAACAGUUUUUUCUGGUAGUGUCUUAAUAUUCUCUAGGUAUAGUAUCAUGUCGUGCAAAUAGUGAUAGUUUUACUUCUUCCUUUCCAAUUUGGAUUCCUUUGAUUUCUUUUACUUCUCUGAUUGCUGUGGCUAGGACUUCCAAAACUAUGUUGAAAAGCAGUGGCAAGAGUGGAUGUCUUUGUCUUGUUUCUGAUCUCAGUGGGAAUUCCUUCAGCUUUUCACCAUUGAGAAUGAUGUUAGCUCUGGGUUUACCAUAUAUGGGUUUUAUUAUGUUGAGGUAUGUUCCCUCUGUGCUCACUUUCUGAAGGGUUUUUAAUCAUAAAUGGGUGUUGGAUUUUGCCAAAGGCUUUUUCUGCAAAAAAACUUAAGACUUUUGAUUCAAAUGUAACUGGCUGAGUCCUGACAUUGGAAAAAUGCAUAUUUCUGGCAAGAUUAUAUACCAUACCAAUAGUUCUAUUUCCCAUAUAUGAGGUUGGGAGAAAGAUGAAUAUAUGCAAGAUAUCUAAGAAUAUUACUAAAGUAUGAAUACAUUGUUUCUGUAGGAAUUACUAGCUCUAAAUAAAAUGAACAGAAAGCAAAUAUUAAGACAGGUGACAAAGGAGGGCAGGAACUCUGGGAUCAAUACUAUUUUACUAUACUAUUAAAUCCAAAUGGGUAAGUUAACUGUCUGAGAAUGUGAAUUUUAAAUGCUAAAUUAAGGCCUGAAAAAGAACAAAUACUCUGCAAAGGAAAUGUUAAUAACAAUAUUAUAUAUUAUAAAUAUGUAGCUAUCUCAACAAAAUAUAGAGGUUAAGCAUGAAGGUGAGCAUGAGCACGUGAAGAAAGUAAGAAAGUAACAUUUUCUAAACAUCUCCUAUUCAUGUGGAAGGGAAAAGAAGAGAAGAACAGGAAGAAAUAAAUUUAUUUCUCAGAACCUAUUUUACUGCAGAUGAGAACAGGUCUUGGGGAAAAGAAAGUAAAACGUUUUGAGGUAUAUAAGAGUGAGGAAAUACCUAGCAUUUUCUUUUCUAAUCUUUGCAGAGGAAUAUGUGCCUGAUUAUGCUAAUAGGAUAAGGGGGACCAUGUCAAUAAAAUGGUAAAUAAUAGUAUUACUUUCAAAUUUACAAGGACAAAGUUGAAUGAAAACAAUAUGUAUUAAAGAUAUUUAUUCCUAAUAUGUAGAAUAUACUUAAAAUCAAUAAUAAAAGAAUAAUUAUUUAAAAUGAAAGGAUUUGACCCUUUAAAAAAGCUGAACAAAACAUUCACAAAAUAGCAUAUACAAGUUAAUAAAACUUGGAAAUUUGAUCGACAUUUUUUCCAUCACAGAAAUGAAAAUUGAAACUCAAUGGACCAUUCCAUCCUAUUAAAAGAAC